GAUUUAAACCAAAUUUAGAUGGUGGUUUGUUUUUGGAGAAGAUUUUUUCCGGCAACCGAUCCUCAUAUUUUCCCCAACUGGAUAACACAAUGCAAUGAUUCUUGUGGGGUCUCUUAAAGUUUUAGACAGAUUGGCCAGCUGUGGCUAAUGACCCACCAUCUCACAUGCUCAGCCAAUGUGGUUUUGACUCACCCAUCACUCCCUUUUCCCCCCUUCUAAACUCUAUAUAUCUUCUCUCUCUCGUUUGCUCAGCCAAGUGUGUGCGUGUAUAACACUAUAAGUUCUGUUUUUAGUUCUUUUGUAGCUCUGAGUAUAGACAACAUGGAAGUAGCUUUGGAACUUGAAGAUGAUUUGUUCUUCGCUGAUUUAAGCAGACAGCUCUCUCUUCUUCUCAUGGAUGACAACGAAGACCCUCUCCCUCAUCAUCCCCAUGUUUCUCUUCAGGCUCUCGCUCAUGGAGGCCACCAGCCUGCACGGCCACUGGCGGUGCAUGACCAAGCUGCCGCUGCUAUUGUCGCUGCCUACAGUGGCGUAAGCAAAGGCACCGGCGUGUUCAUCCCUCGGUCUUUGCAGCCUGCAAGAAAACAGAGGCGUGGAAGAUACAAUAACAUAAAGGCAAACCGACAGUUUCCAAUCACUGUUGAUGUGAAUUCACAAGUAUCCAACAACAAUUCGUUGCGUCCCAAAAAGGGUUAAGGAUUCGAGGAAUUUGAGGAAAAGGGUAUCAGAAUUUAGAUUAAAAAAAUAAUUCUUUCACCAAAUAUUUAAGUAUGGUGAUGCCUGUACAUGGAAGAAGCUAUAGUAUUAGCUCCAUUAAUUACUGGGUUUUCAUUGGUUUAUGUGUUUCAUUGGAAGGUUAAUUAACCUAAGGUUUGUGAA